GAUGAACGCUAGCGGGAGGCUUAACACAUGCAAGUCGAGGGGCAGCAUAGGGUAGCAAUACUCUGAUGGCGACCGGCAAACGGGUGAGUAACGCGUAUGUAACCUACCCUGUACAGGGGGAUAACCCGGAGAAAUUCGGACUAAUAUCCCAUAACAAUAUCCGGGGGCAUCUUUGGAUAUUUAAAGUUCCGGCGGUACGGGAUGGGCAUGCGUAACAUUAGCUAGUUGGUAAGGUAACGGCUUACCAAGGCUUUGAUGUUUAGGGGUCCUGAGAGGGUGGUCCCCCACACUGGUACUGAGACACGGACCAGACUCCUACGGGAGGCAGCAGUGAGGAAUAUUGGUCAAUGGGCGCAAGCCUGAACCAGCCAUCCCGCGUGCAGGAAGACGGCGCUAUGCGUUGUAAACUGCUUUUCCAGGGAGAGAAACUUGCGCACGUGUUGCGCAAUUGACGGUACCCUGGGAAUAAGCAUCGGCUAACUCCGUGCCAGCAGCCGCGGUAAACUGUAGUCGUC
rnacentral:rRNA from 1 species